rnacentral:rRNA from 1 species
GACGAACGCUGGCGGCGUGCUUAACACAUGCAAGUCGAGCGGUAAGGCCCUUUCGGGGGUACACGAGCGGCGAACGGGUGAGUAACACGUGGGUGACCUGCCCUCAGCUCUGGGAUAAGCCUGGGAAACCGGGUCUAAUACUGGAUAUGACUCCAUGACGCAUGUUGUGGGGUGGAAAGCCUUGUGCGGCUGAGGAUGGGCCCGCGGCCUAUCAGCUUGUUGGUGGGGUGANGGCCUACCAAGGCGACGACGGGUAGCCGGCCUGAGAGGGCGACCGGCCACACUGGGACUGAGACACGGCCCAGACUCCUACGGGAGGCAGCAGUGGGGAAUCUUGCGCAAUGGGCGAAAGCCUGAUCCAGCGACGCCGCGUGGGUGAAGAAGGCCUGCGGGUUGUAAAGCCCUUCAGUGGGGAAGAAAAGCCUCGACCUAACACGUCGGGUCUUGACGUAACCCAUAGAAGAAGCACCGGCUAACUCUGUGCCAGCAGCCGCCGUAAG